AUACGGAGGGUGCAAGCGUUACUCGGAAUCACUGGGCGUAAAGCGCGCGCAGGCGGUCUUUUAAGUUGGAUGUGAAAGCCUACGGCUCAACCGUAGAACUGCAUCCAAAACUAUUAGACUAGAGUGUGGGAGAGGAAGAUGGAAUUGGUUGUGUAGGGGUAAAAUCCGUAGAGAUAACUAGGAAUACCAAAAGCGAAGGCAAUCUUCUGGAACACUACUGACGCUGAGGCGCGAAAGCGUGGGGAGCAAACAGGAUUAGAUACCCUAGUAGUCC
rnacentral:rRNA from 1 species